rnacentral:rRNA from 1 species
AUUGAACGCUGGCGGCAGGCCUAACACAUGCAAGUCGAGCGGAUGAAGGGAGCUUGCUCCUGGCUUCAGCGGCGGACGGGUGUGUAAUGCCUAUGAAUCUGCCUGGUCUUGGGGGAUAACGUCCGGAAACGGGCGCUAAUCUCGCAUACGUCCUGAGGGAGAAAGUGGGGGUUCUUCAGACCUCACGCUUUCAGAUGAGCCUAGGUCGGAUUAGCUAGUUGGUGGGGUAAAGGCCUACCAAGGCGACGAUCCGUAACUGGUCUGAGAGGAUGAUCAGUCACACUGGAACUGAGACACGGUCCAGACUCCUACGGGAGGCAGCAGUGGGGAAUAUUGGACAAUGGGCGAAAGCCUGAACCAGCCAUGCAGCGUGUGUGAAGAGGGUCUGCGGAUUGUAAAACACUUUAAGUUGGGAAGAAGGGCAGUAAGAGAAAACAUGGCUGUUUUGACGGUACCAACAGAAUAAGCACCGGCUAACUACGUG